GCUUAACCUAGGGUUAAAUUAAAUUUUAACCCAAGGUUACUUUGCGUUGUUCAAAGCUAGGUUAUCCUUAACCCUCGGUUAAAACAACACAGGACCUGGAGGGAGAACAGUUUAGAACUAAUACAGUAAGAGCUAUUGUAACCACGUGAUACGAGUAUGUAAGAGUAACCACGUGAUAAGAGUGAUAGAACAGAAUGAAAGCGUUCCGCCAAGAAUCCUUUGUGAAGCCCCCUUGAGGGAUUCUUUCAUAUAAUCUUUGUCGGUUGAUCAUCAGGGGAUAAUCGAUUUGAUAACUUCUUUUGUAAAGUUGUUCACUGUAUAAAACGUUUAUUAUGAAGUAAGUUUUAACACUGUCGAUAAAGAUAAAACCUAGGGUGCAACCAAACCCAACUAAUUUACUGAAGGGUUGAGACUGAUAUAAUGGUUAUUGUGUUUGGUCCAUAAAUACUGUUUCCUACUUGAAACAACACAGGACCUGUAUAGGGAGAACAGUUUACAACCGUUGGCUUUAUUUCAUAAUUCGAUUGUAAACCAUAAGUCUGCUCGGUGAGAGCAUUCCGAGCAAGUGUUUCUUUGUUGUGAAGGGCAGGUUGGAGGCCUAAGGGAGAGAGGGCAAGCCAAGGGGAUGGGGGACCUAAAAGAGAG